rnacentral:rRNA from 1 species
AUUGAACGCUGGCGGCAUGCCUUACACAUGCAAGUCGAACGGCAGCACGGAUGCUUGCCCCUGGUUGCGAGUGGCGAACGGGUGCGUAAUACAUCGGAACAUAUCCUGUAGUGGGGGAUAGCCCGGCAAAAGCCGGAUUAAUACCGCAUACGAUCUACGGCUGAAAGCGGGGGUCCUUCUGGCCUCGCGCUAUGGGGUCUGCGUAUGACUGAUUACCUGUUUGGGGGGGUGAAGGCCCCCCACGGGGACGAUCAGUAGCCGGUCCGGAAGGAUGGACGGACCAAUUGGAACUGGGACACGGGCCAGACUCCUAAGGGAGGCAGCAAUGGGGGAUCUUCCGCAAUGGGCGAAAGGCUGACGGAGCAAAGCCGGGGGGGUGGAGGCGGCCUUCGGGUUGGAAAGGUCUGUUAUACGGGACGAAUAACCUUGUGGUUAAUACCCACGAGAAGUGACGGUACCGGAAGAGAAAGCAACGGCUAACUACGUG